ACUCACCUACGGGAGGCAGCAGUGGGGGAUAUUGCACAAUGGGGGGAACCCUGAUGCAGCGACGCCGCGUGAAGGAAGACGGUUUUCGGAUUGUAAACUUCUGUUCUUAGUGAAGAAGAAUGACGGUAGCUAAGGAGCAAGCCACGGCUAACUACGUGCCAGCAGCCGCGGUAAUACGUAGGUGGCAAGCGUUGUCCGGAAUUACUGGGUGUAAAGGGAGCGCAGGCGGGAAGCCAAGUCAGCUGUGAAAACUACGGGCUUAACUUGUAGACUGAAGUUGAAA
rnacentral:rRNA from 1 species